UACAGAGGGGGCAAGCGUUGUUCGGAAUUACUGGGCGUAAAGGGCGCGUAGGCGGCCCGCUAAGUCGAACGUGAAAUCCCCGAGCUCAACUCGGGAACUGCGUCCGAUACUGGUGGGCUUGAAUCCGGGAGAGGGAUGCGGAAUUCCAGGUGUAGCGGUGAAAUGCGUAGAUAUCUGGAGGAACACCGGUGGCGAAGGCGGCAUCCUGGACCGGCAUUGACGCUGAGGCGCGAAAGCUAGGGGAGCAAACGGGG
rnacentral:rRNA from 1 species